AUUAAUUUAAUCUUUAAUAGUGACUGUGUUUAACAACUAACUUGCAAAAUUCCUGGGAAUUAGCAGUUGACUCUUCCUGGAUGAUGAGUAAGCACCAGCACACGACUGAGAUGAAAUAUCCGAGCAGAAUAUUGUUUUAUGCUGGGACCCUACCUGAUUUAGGCAAGCGGCGGUAAGCCAAGGAAGUUACAGAUGAGGCUGAUAAAUAAGUGAUGGGGAGACGGGAGGGGUUGAAGUGCAGGUGUGAGACAGGGUGGGCAGAAUCCAAGGUGGAAAGAUCAGCACGUGGGUAUGAAUGAAGGAGCACCACUUACUAGAUUCUCAGCCCCCACCCCAAACAGUGGGAGCUAUAGAUGUCACAUGACUUCUGCCUUUUUUGGGACAGCUCUGGACCUUUAUAACUUUUGGCUAUUUGGGCAUACCAUAAACAUCGUAAAGGAAAAUAAUUCUGGUGACAGAGCCUCAAAGGAGGAACAGUAUGGAAUAAUAUCAGUUGGAAAAGGUCAAAAGACUGAUAGAGAUUGAGAAGACAUUGAACAAAUAGGAGUGAGGUUGCAAAUAAGUGUUUCUUUCUUUUAAAGCAAUGUUUCUUCUAAAGUUUUAUUUCCAUAGUUCUGAAAAUAUAGAAAUAUGCAUCAGUGUUUUGGCAAAUAUACUUCCAAUAUGAUCAGGCCAAAAAUACAGAGGUAAGGAGAUAAUUGAUUUUGAAAAGUUAUACUUAUCAACAUUUUCUGGAAGGGUUGAGAUCACAUCUUUGACACACUCAGAUCCUGGCUACAUGCUGUGCAUCAAGAGAUGUAUUAGUAGAGCAACUCUAACUGUUCUAGAUAAUGAUGAAGUGCCUCCUGAGGCUGCAUGUUCCAAAGCUGAUGUUAACUAUGCCAAUAUUCUAAGAGAAAAGACAAAGUCUAAUCAUUUCUCAUGCUAAAACAGUUCCAUAAGCAUUCUUGAUCCAUGAAAUGUGUGCUACUAAGAAAGAAAUGUGACUUUGCCUAUCAAAUCAGGGAAGAUGUUACUUCAGAACUCACAAAUGGAUGGAUCAUUGGUUCACAGUUCAGAAUUCUCAGAGCAAAACUGGGCUGAAUGGAUCGGUGGGUACCUCAUACCUAGGAACUAUCCUGAAGCAUUUCAUUUAUUAGUCAGUCACUGCACCCUAUAGAUGGGUGUGUGUUAGAUCACAUUCAAAAUUGUCAUGUAAAAGCAAAAACACUGUUUCUAUGAUCCCCUCAGUUCCAAACAAAGUUCCUUUUAGGAAGGCAUCUAGUCUAUGGGAUAUCUUUACAUUUUGAAGUCCUUCCCACCUAGAGAAAGAAAGAUGGAGUAGCAGUGAAUGAAAUUUAAUUUGCUUAUUCUCAAAUUUUUUUAAUAAUGAAACACAUUUGUUUAUAUUUUAUAUGUGGUACUUCAUAAUAUAUGGGAUUUUCUUUUAUCAUUCCCUCCCCAGUUUUUUUUUUUUUGAGACAGAAUCUCGUUCUGUCACCCAGGAUGGACUACAGUAGCGUGAUCUCGGCUCACUGCAACCUCCGCUUGCCAGGUUCUAUUCUCCUGCCUUAGCUUCCUGAGUAGCUGGGAUUACAGGCAUGUGCCACCACACUGGGCUAAUUUUUGUAUUUUCAGUAGAGACAGGGUUUCACCAUGUUGAUCAGGCUGGUCUUGAACUCCUGACCUCGUGAUUCGCCUGCCUUGGCCUCCCAAAGUGCAGGGAUUAUAGGCAUGAGCCACUGUACCCCACCCCAGUUUUCAAUCCAAUAUGUUACCAGUGUAAGUAGCUGCAACUACUAUUAUUUGUGUCGAGUUUUACAGUUUGUAAAGUCUUACACUGUUUCAGUUAAUUCUUACCAUAAUCCAAAUAGUCGGCCAUUAAUCAUCGUAUUUUAUGCUGUUAAAUUAAAUCUAGCUUAAAGCUGCCUCCUUUGCAGCUUCAGCCUAAAGCAUUCUCCAUAGUGAACUAUAGCCUAUUUGAAUUGUAAACAGGCUGUAUCCUACUCUUCAACAAGUAGCUGAAUCCCAGCCAAUCCCAGCAGCCACACUUUGGCCACUCAGAGACCGCCAACUAUUCAGACCACGUUCACAUAAGGCAAAUGUGAAGCCUUAACCAAUCUGGCUGUUUCUGUACUUUGCCUCCAUUUUCUGUAUGUAACUUUCCUUUUUCUGUUCACAAAUCCUCUUCAACUAUGCAGCAGUGUCAUAGUCCCUCUGAAGCCCCUCUCGUUGGCGGGCGGUGGGGGGGCUGCCCAGUUCAUGAAUCAUUCUUUCCUCAAUUAAACUCUGUUGUUAAAUUUGGCUAAAGUUUUAACAAUGCUGAGGAACCUGUGUUGGAGAGUUUCAGCAACUUGCCCAAGGUUAAGCACCUUGGAAGUGAUGUAACUGAGAUUCAAUCUCCAUCUGCCUCUAUAUCCCUCACAUUCCCACUUAUAUGUCCUGCCAGACACGGAGAUAUGGACUGUCCUCUCAUUUCCUUUGGUAUGAUUGGAUCUGUGUCUUGCCUUGUCCAUUUUCAGGGUGAGGAUUCUGCUGCUUUUGUCACAGGUAGUCAGAAAGGCAUGAGUGGGGCAGUCCCCCCACCCACUAAGAAUGUCAGGUGAUCGAUCAUUUGACAGCUAUCGAACUGCCUCUCUAAAAAUGAUAAUUUGGCAGCUGGCACCAGGGAGAGACAGUCUCCUGAGAAUCCACAGCUGUUAACAUUAUUGUGUUAUUUGGAUGCAAACUCCAGAGGGAAGCAACUUCCUGGGCAUGCACAUUAAGAGACAAAAGGGUGAAGAAUGACCUUCUGGGGGACACUCCACUGGAAAAAGGAAGAAAGCCUCAGAUGGGCAUGCAUACAACUUCCUAAACACACUGCAUGUACUCACCUCCUGAGGGAAAGGAGGACACUGCAUAUGAUCAUCAGAGAGGCGAGUAUAUCAAGCCCUAGGCUCAAGGUUAAACAUGACACUUGAGCUUCAGGUGCCUACUUGGGUCUCUUCCAAGUGAAUUCCCCUUUCUUUCUUGUUCCGAGUGCUUUUUAAAAAAUAAAUGUCGACUCCUGCUUUGAAACUUGUUCUUU
rnacentral:lncRNA from 13 species